UCCAGCAAGUGGCAGUGGUCAGUGACACAGUAUCAGCACAGUAUCAACCAAGUGUGUUAUUGUGUCGACACGCCUCAUGUCAACCUGAACUAAAGAGUAUUUAGUUCAGGUUGACAUUCUGAAACCUUAAUGAACAUUAAUUUGAUCAUACAACUCAUUCCAAUGAAGAAAUAUUCAAACUCAGAAAACAUGCUCAGGCGGGCUUUUAUGCUGCAAGUGGCAGAUGAGAUAAAGACUCGCAGGUGUGCAACUUUAUUUGGGAGCAGAAUAUUCCCCGACACAGGAGAACAAAAAGAUAGGGGUUUGAUUUCGUGGAGUUCGUCGCACAAUGCAUAAGGCGUCUGACUACAAAUCAGGGCAUGCUCGGCCAGAGAGGGCGUCCACCAGGUUGAAAAAGAGAUGAAGAGCAAACACUGUCAAUACAUAAUAAAGUUUCUCUGUCCCAAUAUCCCCCAAAAAACAGUCCAAAGUAGCAAGAUUAAGAACAUCUUUUUUUUAAAAACGCUCACAUGAGGCGGAUUUUGAGCCUUGCCUAUGCAGUGAUAUUAAUAAUAAUCAUCAUCAUCAUCAUGAAAAGGUGUGAUGGUGGCGUGGUAUUCAUUUAUCUUUGGAAUUGGUGCGUUUAGAUUUUUGUCUUUUGCUUUUCCUUGUGUUUGGGUUUAGUUUCAAGUGCAGCUCAUGUUCACACAAUGCACAGUUUAUCUUAUUAUUUUUAGAAGGUCAUAGGAAAUCAGAUGAAAGGCUGCAAUGGCCAACUCUCACCAGCAGAGGCUAUCGUAAAUGACACAACGUGGCAUCAGCUCUGAGCAGCAAAUGUUGUCAAUUCAUUGUCAAAUUUUUCCGUCCAAAU